CUAGAUAGGAGGGCCUU
rnacentral:tRNA from 1 species